UGUCUCCUCCACCCUCCUCCUUUGGUGGAUUCAGCGCAGCCCAUCGUGGCUGCGCUUUUUUUG
rnacentral:ncRNA from 1 species